GCCGGAGUAGUUCAGUGGUAGAACGUCGCCAUGGUAAGGCGAAGAUCGUGGGUCCGAUUCCCACCUCCGGCU
rnacentral:tRNA from 1 species